rnacentral:rRNA from 1 species
AAUGAACGCUGGCGGCGUGCCUAAUACAUGCAAGUCGAACGGCCGCACAGUGAGCUCGUGCCCCUACGGUUGGCGAGUGGCGGGCGGGUAAGGCAUGGAUCGGAAUCUACUAUUUCUGGGGUAACUACGUAGAACCAGAGCCACUAAUACCUAAUAUGACGUACGGGUUGGUUCAGUGGAGAUUCGCGCUUUUCGCGACUGUAUUAGCCGAUGCCGGAUUAGCUAGUUGGCUAGGUAAGGGCCCACCAAGGCGACGAUCCGUAGCUGGUCUGAGAGGAUGAUCAGCCACACUGGAACUGAGACACGGUCCAGACUCCUACGGGAGGCAGCAGUGGGGAAUAUUGGACAAUGGGCGCAAGCCUGACCCAGCAAUGCCGCGUGAGUGAAGAAGGCCUUCGGGUCGUAAAGCCCUUUUGUUGGGAAAGAAAAGAUGCAGAUUAAUCCACGCCUGUUCUGACGGUACCUAAAGAGAAAGCAACGGCUAACUUCGUG